UGGUAACCUUGCCAUGGGACUGAGAGGCUGGGGGGAGGGUGGCUGGAAUGUGGGGGUGGGCAGUUGUGAAGGGGGGAUAACAGGGAGGGAUGGGCUGGAGAUAACUAUCUGUGGACCACCAUUUAGGUCCUGGUGGCCUCUGGUGAUCCACAGGCUCCAUUUGAGAACCACUGACUUCAUGAAAAAACAGGCUAUGUAAGACCUAAAAUCAAGGGAGAGGACGGACAUCUCCUGCUGCGAAGAUGUAGGUGCACCUGGUCUCAGAUUCCUGCAGUGAGAUCUGUCAACUCCACCUACGGCUACCUCAUUGUUGGGGGAGUCUUAGGUGGUUAUGCAAGGGUUUCUGAAGAAAUAAGGUCUGCUGAAGGGCUGUGGUUUGGUUGGAUGGGUGAUGGGAAAUUUGUUUCAGGAAACUGGGAGGCUGCGUGGUCUCUUGGAUGGGGAAGGUUUCUUUGUUCUGCUCUACUCCUGACACCUUGUGUGAUUGUAGGCAAGUAAUCCCUUAGAAUUUGUGUCUCCCAAUGUCACGUGGCUGGAGACAGGUUCUUAGGACUGCCUCGGAGAGUGGUGGGUGAAGUGAGAAAUGGAAUGAGUGCUAUUCAUGGAUGUGCUCAAUUUCUCAAGAUAAAAGUUUCGGUUGCUUUGGACAUUUAAUACCAUAACAGUUUAAUAGCAGAAGCAUUACCUGUGAUUCUUUUAUUAACAGAUUAAUACAAGGCACCAUACAUCCUCAUUGUGCUUGCCUCGUUUUCCCCUUAAGAAAUAGUUGCACGAAUAUGUACCUAGGGAUUGGUUUUGGAAAAAAAGGAAUAAUAAUAAUUGGAUUUAUUCUAUAUACUAAUACUUUGUAUAAAUUAUGAAAGUGAUAGUUGAAAAGUAGGGAAGAAUUACAUGUUUGCUUUUUUGUGACAUUGGAUUUAAAACUUGGUAGUAAUGAGCAAGUUCCCUACCACAGAGCCCCAUAGUCAGUCCUCCUUCAUUCAUCUGGUCUUGAAGCUGAGUGUUAAGGAUUAUAGGAAGUUAGACAUGAAGUAUUUUGAGUAUUUAUGCACUUAAUAGUUGAUGCACAUUGUUAGGUACAAAGAAGCUUCUGGAAGGGCUUUCAUUGUAAAGUGUGCUGUUAAUGUGUUUAUAGAUAAGGAGCAGGUAAAUAAAUGUUAAGUGAGUUUCCAAGGUGAGUCUUCACAGUUGACUCCCUAAAUACUUGUAUCAAAUAGUUUUGCUAUUUUUCAGUUUGUAAGAACCUUUAAAAUGAUUUUGCUUUACGUUUUGAAUAAAAUAUAAUCUGAGAAGCAAAUAAUUUUGAUAAAUCAUGUGUUCAUCAGAACAAGCUUACAAGUUUUACAAGAACUAAAAGGAAAGCAGUUUGUAUGUACUCAAGAGUAUCUGCUUGAUGAGAACCAGGGGAGCACUAUUAAAA
rnacentral:lncRNA from 1 species